GACAAGCUGCCACCGGGUAGCCAGAUGCGAACAAGCAUCCGUUUACACAUCGUUAGGUCUUUGCAGAUGUGUACGCGGAUGCUUUUUUUCG
rnacentral:ncRNA from 1 species